rnacentral:lncRNA from 1 species
CUGGCAGCAGGGAAGAAGGAGUGGUCUGAAGAGGAGGGAAGAGUGUGGGAACCAAGGGAGGGGAGCACUCCUGCUUUCUUCUGGAUAGCUGCACAGCUGAACAUGAAGGGUGCUACUGUGACUUGGAAAAGUGACUCAAUAGUGCUGCUUGGGGACAGUAGAAUCUUCCAAAGAGAAGCAGAAGUCAGAUUCUAAAAGGAGCAGGUGUCUUCCCCAAGGCCCAACCAAUGAGGGGGAACACCUAUGCAACGGCAUGCAUGGGAAGGCCAGACGACCACACGACUUCACAGACCCAGAUCAUGCCGGCUAGGAAGAAAGUGCCGUUCCCGGCUGAGCCAUCUCACUAGCUCCAGAUUUUCCUCUUGCAGAUGUUGAAAUGUUUUGCGAUAGAUUAUUAGAUGUUUGGUAUGCAUUAUCCUGUCUCUAGAAUUUUGUCUUUAAGUUUCCAAAUGCCGAAAAGUGGAAUCAAAAGGAAAGAGCAAACAGCAAAGACCAUUUAAUGAAAACGUCUUAGAGUCUACUCCUAUAGGUUUGGUGUCUUGGGGUAAUUUAUUAACUCUCCUUUGCAUAGGCCAGACUGAUCAUGUCCACUGGCUGCCAGAGCAGAAAAGUGUUUCAGAUGGCAUGAUACCCGUCAUCCUCUGGACUGCCUUACAGGGGCCUCCAUAAACCUUUCUUUCCUUCUGGUAGAGGUGUCAUUCACAAAGGCUGGAAGGAAAUGGAGCUAUGGGGAGGCGGGGAGAGGACACUCCAAG